UACGUAGGGGGCAAGCGUUAUCCGGAUUUACUGGGUGUAAAGGGAGCGUAGACGGUGCGCCAAGUCUGGAGUGAAAUGCCGCAGCUUAACUGCGGAACUGCUUUGGAAACUGGCGAACUAGAGUGCGGGAGGGGUAAGCGGAAUUCCUAGUGUAGCGGUGAAAUGCGUAGAUAUUAGGAGGAACACCGGUGGCGAAGGCGGCCUGCUGGGCUUUAACUGACGCUGAAGCACGAAAGCGUGGGUAGCAAACAGG
rnacentral:rRNA from 1 species